rnacentral:lncRNA from 1 species
CCCCACGCCCCUCCCCACGCCCACCACGCUCUGCGCUCCUUCACGGCCCUCCCCGUCCUCCUUCAUGACCCUCCUCUUCCUCCUGGCGUCCUCCACACUCUGACCCUGCAGCCAUGCUGCCGGGCUAAAGCGGGUUUAAUUAAUGGCGCCUGAGGCCGGCUCCUGAGGGCUCCUGAGGCAGCUUGAAACCCAGCAAAAGCUCCCUGGCUGAUAAAAGUUCAGUGGCUAAACUGGAAAUACUGGGACCCGGGUAGGUAGAACUUGCAUUUUCAAAGCCACCUUUCCUCCAUCCCCUCCAUCUGGUCGGGCUGCUGGAACCCUCACAGUGGAGAACUCCCGGCUGAGGGGUCUACACUUUGGUCAUGCCUCAUAGAAGAACAGCCCCAGCCAUAGUAUUAACAGGAGGAAACAUCACAGCAGACAGCUCUAAUUCCUGGACUAUAGACAGGAAACGCAGAAGCCCGGAAAUGUCUAGCAGAGGUGCGUGAGGAAGAACUCUGUUGGUGGCCUCAGAGAAAGAGACCUGGGAAUGGAGGUGCCAGGGCUAAGAAUGCAAAUAUGGGAAGUGCUGCAUGUUCAUGAAGCACUGUGUUGAGUGCUCCCCUAGCACUUUGCUGAGUGCUCCACAGGUGGGAUGACUACCGCAGCAUGGCUUUUGCAGAUCGGUGCCAUGUCCACACCCGGGUUCCAAACCAGUGAACCCCAGGCUGCCAAGAAGCGGAACAUGUGAACUUAACCACUGCACCACCCAGCGGGCCCCCCUAACCACUUUCUCUGUGCUUUAUUUUCACUCCUGCCUUGACCGGUGCUGUCCAAUAGUAGCAUUAACACUCUAUAACAUGAAAUCAAAACUUUCUAGUGGCACGUUUAAGAAAAUAAAAACAAACAGCUGAACC